AUUGAACGCUGGCGGCAUGCUUUACACAUGCAAGUCGAACGGCAGCGCGGGCUUCGGCCUGCGGCGAGUGGCGAACGGGUGAGUAAUACAUCGGAACGUGCCCAGUAGUGGGGGAUAGCUCGGCGAAAGCCGGAUUAAUACCGCAUACGACCUGAGGGUGAAAGCGGGGGAUCUUCGGACCUCGCGCUAUUGGAGCGGCCGAUGGCAGAUUAGCUAGUUGGUGGGGUAAAGGCCUACCAAGGCGACGAUCUGUAGCUGGUCUGAGAGGACGACCAGCCACACUGGGACUGAGACACGGCCCAGACUCCUACGGGAGGCAGCAGUGGGGAAUUUUGGACAAUGGGCGAAAGCCUGAUGCAGCAAUGCCGCGUGUGUGAUGAAGGCCUUCGGGUUGUAAAGCACUUUUGGCGGGAACGAAAAGGACUGUGCCAAUACCACGGUUCGAUGACGGUACCCGCAGAAUAAGCACCGGCUAACUACGUG
rnacentral:rRNA from 1 species